rnacentral:rRNA from 1 species
GAUGAACGCUAGCGGCAGGCCUAAUACAUGCAAGUCGGACGGGAUUUGGGAGCUUGCUCCUAAUGAGAGUGGCGCACGGGUGCGUAACACGUAUGUAACCUACCUUAGUCAGGGGGAUAGCCUCUCGAAAGAGAGAUUAAGACCGCAUAACAUUAUUGAGUGGCAUCAUUUAAUAAUCAAAUAUUUAUAGGACUAAGAUGGGCAUGCGAAACAUUAGCUAGUUGGUAGGGUAACGGCCUACCAAGGCUACGAUGUUUAGGGGAUCUGAGAGGAUGGCCCCCCACCCUGGUACUGAGACACGGACCAGACUCCUACGGGAGGCAGCAGUAAGGAAUAUUGGUCAAUGGGCGGAAGCCUGAACCAGCCAUGCCGCGUGCAGGAAGACGGCCCUACGGGUUGUAAACUGCUUUUAUACGGGAAUAAACCUACUUACGUGUAAGUAGCUGAAUGUACUGUAAGAAUAAGGAUCGGCUAACUCCGUGCCAGCCGCCGCAGUAA